rnacentral:sRNA from 1 species
GCCAGGCGUGGUGGAGCAUGUCUGUAAUCCCAGUGGCUCUGGAGGCUGAGGCAAGAGGAUUGAGAGUUCAAAACCAGCCUCAG